UCAUGCCUACGGGACGCAGCAGUGGGGAAUAUUGCACAAUGGGGGAAACCCUGAUGCAGCGACGCCGCGUGAGUGAAGAAGUAUCUCGGUACGUAAAGCUCUAUCAGCAGGGAAGAAAAAAAGUCUUUGGCUUUGGACGGUACCUGACUAAGAAGCCCCGGCUAACUACGUGCCAGCAGCCGCGGUAAUACGUAGGGGGCAAGCGUUAUCCGGAUUUAUUGGGUUUAAAGAGUGCGCAGGCGGGAGAUCAAGUCAGCGGUAAAAUGUCGGGGCUCAACCCCGGCCGGCCGUUGAAACUGGGUUUU
rnacentral:rRNA from 1 species